CCUACGGGUGGCAGCAGUGGGGAAUAUUGCACAAUGGGCGCAAGCCUGAUGCAGCCAUGCCGCGUGUGUGAAGAAGGCCUUCGGGUUGUAAAGCACUUUCAGCGGGGAGGAAGGCGGUGAGGUUAAUAACCUCAUCGAUUGACGUUACCCGCAGAAGAAGCACCGGCUAACUCCGUGCCAGCAGCCGCGGUAAUACGGAGGGUGCAAGCGUUAAUCGGAAUUACUGGGCGUAAAGCGCACGCAGGCGGUCUGUCAAGUCGGAUGUGAAAUCCCCGGGCUCAACCUGGGAACUGCAUUCGAAACUGGCAGGCUAGAGUCUUGUAGAGGGGGGUAGAAUUCCAGGUGUAGCGGUGAAAUGCGUAGAGGUCUGGAGGAAUACCGGUGGCGAAGGCGGCCCCCUGGACAAAGACUGACGCUCAGGUGCGAAAGCGUGGGGAGCAAACAGGAUUAGAUACCCCUGUAGUC
rnacentral:rRNA from 1 species